rnacentral:tRNA from 1 species
GGGGUUGUGGCUCAGCGGUAGAGCCCUCAUCUAGCACAUGUGAGGCACUGGGUUCAAUCCUCAGCACCACA